rnacentral:rRNA from 1 species
UCGAGAAUAGUCUACAAUGGGGGAAACCCUGAUAGUGCGACGCCGCGUGAACGAAGAAGCAUUUCGGUGUGUAAAGUUCUUUUCUAUAUGAUCAGUGCUGUUAAGUUGACAAGGUUUAACAGAGGGAUCUUAGUAUAGGAAUAAGCCACGGCUAACUCCGUGCCAGCAGCCGCGGUAACACGGGGGUGGCGAGCGUUGUCCGGAAUUACUAGGCGUAAAGGGUAAGUAGGCGGGAUAUUAAGUCAGAAGUUAAAUGCAUGGGCUCAACCGAUGUACGGCUUUUGAUACUGAUAUUCUGGAGUAAGGUGGGGGAAGACGGAAUUCCUGGUGUAGCGGUGGAAUGCGCAGAUAUCAGGAGGAACACCGGAGGCGAAGGCGGUCUUCUAUACCAUUACUGACGCUGAAUUACGAAGGUGUGGGUAUCAAACA